CCCGCGACCCCCCCCUGGCUCCCACCAACCUCAGCUCACGCCUCACCAGUCGUCGAGGCCCCGCCUGCCAAGUGACAAAUGUUUAACGGGCUCGGGACCCUAACCGUGCAAAGGUAGCAUAAUCACUUGUUCCUUAAUUAGGGACCUGUAUGAAUGGCUCCACGAGGGUUCAGCUGUCUCUUACUUUUAACCAGUGAAAUUGACCUGCCCGUGAAGAGGCGGGCAUGACACAGCAAGACGAGAAGACCCUAUGGAGCUUUAAUUUAUUAAUGCAAACAGUACCUAACAAACCCACAGGUCCUAAACUACCAAACCUGCAUUAAAAAUUUCGGUUGGGGCGACCUCGGAGCAAAACCCAACCUCCGAGCAGUACAUUCUAAGACUUCACCAGUCAAAGCGAACUACUAUAC
rnacentral:rRNA from 1 species